rnacentral:tRNA from 1 species
GGCCACAGCUCAGUGGUAGAGAAUCCGCUUAUUAUGCAGAAGGUGCUGGGUUCGAUUCCCGACAUCUCCA